rnacentral:rRNA from 1 species
CCUACGGGAGGCAGCAGUAGGGAAUCUUCCACAAUGGGCGCAAGCCUGAUGGAGCAAUACCGCGUGAGUGAAGAAGGGUUUCGGCUCGUAAAGCUCUGUUGUUGGAGAAGAACGUGCGUGAGCUUAACUGUUCACUCAGUGACGGUAUCCAACCAGAAAGUCACGGCUAACUACGUGCCAGCAGCCGCGGUAAUACGUAGGUGGCAAGCGUUAGCCGGAUUUAUUGGGCGUAAAGCGCGCGCAGGCGGUUGCUUAGGUCUGAUGUGAAAGCCUUCGGCUUAACCGGAGAAGUGCAUCGGAAACCGGGAGACUUGAGUGCAGAAGAGGAGAGUGGAACUCCAGGUGUAGCGGUGGAAUGCGUAGAGAGAUGGAAGAACACCAGUGGCGAAGGCGGCUGUCUGGUCUGCAACUGACGCUGAGGCUCGAAAGCAUGGGGAGCGAACAGGAUUAGAUACCCUAGUAGUC